GCUGCUGCAGUGAUGGAUGCUAAGAAGCUUAUAUACAGCAAAGCAAAAAUACAAGCUGACAUGGCUCUUUCAAUAACUAGAGUCAACCUUGGAAUUUCCUCAGUGGCGUCAACUGGCCUGUGUUCUAAUGGACCUUGCUGGAGGGUGCGACCUCAACGAAGGUGUGGGUGGGGUUGAGGACGAAGGAGGAGACAAACACAGAAUUUGGAAGGGCCGCAACAAACCUGUAUAGUACACAUUUAAUCCAGGCCUGGAUAUCACUCAUGUAUCAUUAUCAGUAAUACACUACUGUUAUUUUAAAACGUGCUUUAAUCAAUCAAACUUAUUACUGCAGUAAAAUGGCGCAGUUUCUUUGGGGUCCAUAAAAAUAAUAAAUAUAUAAAAAUCUCUUUAAUAUGUAUUCAUAUGUAAAUGAAUCGUUAUAGAAAGCACAGUAAUUACCAAACACUUCAUUAACACCUUUUAGGUGUGUACCUGUUCCUGCGCAAGCCAUGUUAAUUAGGAAUUAGUGUGGGACUCAUUUGUAGAUUCAACAGAAAUGCAAAGCACAAUGAUGAAGAUCGCACUUAUUAGUCUUGAAUUGUUGACACUUAUUGCACAAUUAUAACCAACAAUUUAAAGGUGCUAAUUCUAAUUUAUAAUGAAUACUGAACACUGAGCAUUUUUAAUGUAUCCUUCAUACCAGAAUAACAAGUAAGACAAGCAUUUUCAUUCUGCAAUAAUUAUAUAAAAUAUUUUUGUUGGCUGCUGUUUAAAAAAACACUUCUGUUGUAGACUGUCAGGGAAAUUUGGGAACAAAUUUACCCCAGUGUUCUUCCCAAAUUGAAGGUAUGAACCAAUUUUUUUUAAUUAGCAAAGGUCUCAUUGAAAUGCAACUGUGCGAGUGUCAUGGUUGGGUGCUUUUAUGUAUGCACUUGGAAAUGUUAAGUUUAAGGCUGGAAAUUGGAAGGGUCUACAGUCUUAUUAAAGUGCGAGCAGGAGCUUUUGUUUAAGUAAUCCACUUUCUUCAUUUCAGAGUGGAAUAAGUAUUUUACUUCAGAGCACCUUUGUUGUAAAGCUCUAGAUGGUGGUGCCCAUGGUACUCAUAUGUUGUUUUUUUGUUGUUGUUUUUUUUUUAUUUAAAUUUUUGUAUAAUGUAGAGUACAUCAUUUAAACUAAUAUUAAAAAUGCAAGGAACAAAUGUAAAUGUGACCGAGAGAGGCCUUUCAUAACUUCUGAAUGAAGUGUUUCACCACGUUUACAUAUUUGAAUGUCUGCUGAUUCUGGUAGUAAAAUGUUUCAAAUGA